CGAUUCAACCGAAGCCGCCUGGAACGGCGCACCGCAGGGGGUGAAAGUCCCGUAGGUGACGGAUUCUGUCCUCCGAGAGUGGUACCCGAGUAGGGUCGGGCACGUGAAACCCGGCCCGAAUCGGCGGGGACCAUCCCGCAAGGCUAAGUACCGGGCGACGACCGAUAGUGAACCCAGUAGGGCGACCGAAUGGUGGGAAGAACCCCGACAAGGGGAGGACACUGAACCUGAAACCCCGUGCCUACAAGCGGUGGGAGGGCGACGAGCACUGCUCCGCCUGACCGCGUGCCUUUUGCAUAAUGAUCCGGCGAGUUCUGGUAUCCGGCCGGUUAACCCC
rnacentral:rRNA from 1 species